GACGGGUAUCCGGCCUGAGAGGGUGAACGGACACACUGGAACUGAGACACGGUCCAGACUCCUACGGGAGGCAGCAGUAGGGAAUAUUGCUCAAUGGGGGAAACCCUGAAGCAGCAACGCCGCGUGGAGGAUGAAGGUUUUCGGAUUGUAAACUCCUUUUCUAAGGGAAGAUUAUGACGGUAUCUUAGGAAUAAGCACCGGCUAACUCCGUGCCAGCAGCCGCGGUAAUGGGGAGGGUCCAAGCUUUAUUUGGGAAUCACUGGGCGUAAAGAGCGCGUAGGCGGGAUAGCAAGUCAGAUGUGAAAUCCUAUGGCUUAACCAUAGAACUGCAUUGAAACUGUUAUUCUA
rnacentral:rRNA from 1 species